GCCACUGUAGCUUAGUCGGUUAGAGCGGCAGUUUCGUAAACUGCAGGUCGUGGGUUCGAAUCCCCCCAGUGGCU
rnacentral:tRNA from 1 species